CAGUCGCCACGGUAAUACGUAGGUGGCAAGCGUUGUCCGGAAUUAUUGGGCGUAAAGCGCGCGCAGGCGGAUAGGUCAGUCUGACCUAAAAGUUCGGGGCUCAACCCCGUGAUGGGAAAGAAACUACAUGUCUUGAGUACAGGAGAGGAAAGCGGAAUUCCCAGUGUAGCGGUGAAAUGCGUAGAUAUUGGGAGGAACACCAGUGGCGAAGGCGGCUUUCUGGACUGCAACUGACGCUGAGGCUCGAAAGCCAGGGGAGCGAACGGGAUUAGAUACCCGUGUAGUCCCUGUCUCUUAUACA
rnacentral:rRNA from 1 species